rnacentral:lncRNA from 1 species
AUCGCAAGUUUCAAAAUUGUUUUGUAAGUGAAUUAAACUUAUUUUAACAAUCAUGAAGCGUUCUAGAAUCAUUUUCAAGCAGUUUCUACUUCUUUUUGAUGAUCGAAAACAGGGUUUCUCAAGAAAAUACCGCAAACGAUCGCAGAGGAUUUGAAAUGUACAAGUCAACUCGGCACCUGGUUAAAUCGGCAUCUACUGUAGUCAAAUCGGCACCUAUUUGAA